GUCAAAUGCAAGCAACAAAAUGCAGCUACAUAGGCUGUGGUGAAUUUAAUACUUUAUAUUAUUAACAAGAAGAUACUGCAUUCAAUGAUUCCAGAACAGGGAUGCUGCAAAUAACGAGGUCCUUAAACACUGCCUGAUGGGAAUUAUGCAGCCUUUCUCAUUCAUUGUUGAAUAACAAGGAUCUAUCCGGACUGGAGCAGCGGAUCAGAUCUCCUUCAUCAGGAGGUUAUACAGUUCUAACACUUGGAGAUCACAUCGACGGAUCCACCCAUUUCCAUUGCUGAGAAUGGAUCUGCGGCUCACAGACCUGUCAUUUCUCGGCCUGGGCUCUGAUGACUUAACACAAAUCCACCAAUAGAGGUCAACUUUUUAAGGCUUUCCUUACGGCCAACAAAUUGAGUCUUCAAUGGUUAAUGGGUUCUUGACAAUCAACAGCACUCCUUGAUAAAGGCAACUCAAAGUGAGAAUCAAUAUGGAUCCGGUAUCAUGUAACACAUUUAAAGGGCAGUGAAAGCAUAGAUUCCACAUUCGCUCUCUUUUUUUGGUCCAGAUAGUGUAACAAUAGCGAAGCCAUAUGGGCUGCCCAUACUCUCCAGGGAAAGGGCAGGUGCGAAUGAGUUAAUUUCUCUCCUUGCAAGGAAAGCUGACACUUCCUGACCUUUCCUUUAGACCAUCGCUUCCAACCAAGACUUCAAAAGAAAAUUAUUUUCUAUCCCUUACGUUCCAAAAAAAAGAA